CCUUACCAGGUCUUGACAUCCCGAUGCUAUUCUAGAGAUAGAAAGUUACUUCGGUACAUCGGUUGACAGGUGGUGCAUGGUUGUCGUCAGCUCGUGUCGUGAGAUGUUGGGUUAAGUCCCGCAACGAGCGCAACCCCUAUUGUUAGUUGCCAUCAUUCAGUUGGGCACUCUAGCGAGACUGCCGGUAAUAAACCGGAGGAAGGUGGGGAUGACGUCAAAUCAUCAUGCCCCUUAUGACCUGGGCUACACACGUGCUACAAUGGUUGGUACAACGAGUUGCGAGUCGGUGACGGCGAGCUAAUCUCUUAAAGCUAAUCUCAGUUCGGAUUGUAGGCUGCAACUCGCCUACAUGAAGUCGGAAUCGCUAGUAAUCGCGGAUCAGCACGCCGCGGUGAAUACGUUCCCGGGCCUU
rnacentral:rRNA from 1 species